UCUCUACUAGCCAAAUUUACUUCUUAUUAUUAUAUUAUAGAAAAGCUAUUACUUAUACUUGUCCUCUGUCGGUUAUCCAUUUCAUCUCGUAUUUCAAUCACAGUCCUCUGACUUUUGAACAUAAAAAAUGAAUUCAGCAAGAAAUAUGAAAUAAUUGAAUUUUCAGUUAACUUGAGAUUUCGAAUAUCAACUAUCAAGUUCUUGAGCAAAUCUGCUAAAUACGGAUGAGUUAAUAACAUAGUUAGUUAAUUCAGAUUCGGCAAAAAUUUGGUACGGAUAUAAUACGCAUAAAAUUUGUUUUCUAAUUUUUAAAUUCGUUAAAAAAUUCGGCUUAAAAAACGAAUUCGGUAUAAAAUAUAAAAUAUAAGAUAAUCUAUAUUUACAUAUAAAAAUGAUAAGUUUUUUUAUUCAGAUUUUCAAUAAUUCGGGAAUAAUUCGCGAAUCAUUCGCGAAUUAUUUGGCUGGUCCAAAAAUUCGCGAAUAAUUUAUUUUUUUUUGAAAAAAAUUCGUAAAUGGACUGUUUAAUUCUGAUUUUUCAAUAAUUCGCGAAUAAUUCGCGAAUUAACUAACAAAGAUUAAUAGUAAUAUAUUUUUUGAGACAUAUUUAAAUUUAGAUAUGUUUUGAAAUG
rnacentral:lncRNA from 1 species